CUUGUGGGAAGACCGUCUCCAUACAAUAACAAAAGAUACAACUCUUA
rnacentral:rRNA from 1 species